rnacentral:rRNA from 1 species
UACAGAGGUCCCAAGCGUUGUUCGGAUUCACUGGGCGUAAAGGGUGCGUAGGUGGUGAGGUAAGUCGGAUGUGAAAGCUCGGAGCUCAACUCCGAAAUGGCAUUGGAAACUACCUUGCUCGAGGGUUGGAGGGGGGGGACUGGAAUGCUUGGUGUAGCAGUGAAAUGCGUAGAUAUCAAGCGGAACACCAGUGGCGAAGGCGAGUCCCUGGACAACUCCUGACACUGAGGCACGAAAGCUAGGGGAGCAAACAGG